rnacentral:rRNA from 1 species
AGCGAACGCUGGCGGCAGGCUUAACACAUGCAAGUCGAGCGGGCGUAGCAAUACGUCAGCGGCAGACGGGUGAGUAACGCGUGGGAACAUACCUUUUGGUUCGGAACAACACAGGGAAACUUGUGCUAAUACCGGAUAAGCCCUUACGGGGAAAGAUUAUCGCCGAAAGAUUGGCCCGCGUCUGAUUAGCUAGUUGGUGAGGUAACGGCUCACCAAGGCGACGAUCAGUAGCUGGUCNGAGAGGAUGAUCAGCCACAUUGGGACUGAGACACGGCCCAAACUCCUACGGGAGGCAGCAGUGGGGAAUAUUGGACAAUGGGCGAAAGCCUGAUCCAGCCAUGCCGCGUGAGUGAUGAAGGACCCUAGGGUUGUAAAGCUCUUUUAUCCGGGACGAUAAUGACGGUACCGGAGGAAUAAGCCCCGGCUAACUUCGUGCCAGCCGCCGCGGU